rnacentral:rRNA from 1 species
GAUGAACGCUGGCGGCGUGCUUAACACAUGCAAGUCGAACGAUGAAGCCCAGCUUGCUGGGUGUAUUAGUGGCGAACGGGUGAGUAACACGUGAGUAACCUGCCCUUUACUCUGUGAUAAGCCUUGGAAACUGGGUCUAAUACCGGAUAGGAGCGUCCACCGCAUGGUGGGUGUUGGAGAGAUUUAUCGGUUUUGGAUGGACUCGCGGCCUAUCAGCUUGUUGGUGAGGUAAUGGCUCACCAAGGCGAUGACGGGUAGCCGGCCUGAGAGGGUGACCGGCCACACUGGGACUGAGACACGGCCCAGACUCCUACGGGAGGCAGCAGUGGGGAAUAUUGCACAAUGGGCGCAAGCCUGAUGCAGCGACGCCGCGUGCGGGAUGACGGCCUUCGGGUUGUAAACCGCUUUCGGUAGGGAAGAAGCGAGAGUGACGGUACCUGCAGAAGAAGCACCGGCUAACUACGUG